rnacentral:rRNA from 1 species
UACGAAGGGUCCAAGCGUUAUCCGGAUUUAUUGGGUUUAAAGGGUGCGUAGGCGGCUUAUUAAGUCAGUGGUGAAAGCCUGUAGCUUAACUACAGAACUGCCAUUGAUACUGAUGAGCUUGAAUAUACUUGAGGUUGGCGGAAUGUGUCAUGUAGCGGUGAAAUGCUUAGAUAUGACACAGAACACCGAUUGCGAAGGCAGCUAGCUAAAGUACAAUUGACACUGAUGCACGAAAGCGUGGGGAGCAAACAGG